AGAGUUUGAUCCUGGCUCAGGAUGAACGCUGGCGGCGUGCCUAACACAUGCAAGUCGAACGAAGCAAUUGAAGGAAGUUUUCGGAUGGAAUUCGAUUGACUGAGUGGCGGACGGGUGAGUAACGCGUGGAUAACCUGCCUCACACUGGGGGAUAACAGUUAGAAAUGACUGCUAAUACCGCAUAAGCGCACAGUACCGCAUGGUACAGUGUGAAAAACUCCGGUGGUGUGAGAUGGAUCCGCGUCUGAUUAGCCAGUUGGCGGGGUAACGGCCCACCAAAGCGACGAUCAGUAGCCGACCUGAGAGGGUGACCGGCCACAUUGGGACUGAGACACGGUCCAAACUCCUACGGGAGGCAGCAGUGGGGAAUAUUGCACAAUGGGCGAAAGCCUGAUGCAGCGACGCCGCGUGAGUGAAGAAGUAUUUCGGUAUGUAAAGCUCUAUCAGCAGGGAAGAAAAUGACGGUACCUGACUAAGAAGCCCCGGCUAACUACGUGCCAGCAGCCGCGGUAAUACGUAGGGGGCAAGCGUUAUCCGGAUUUACUGGGUGUAAAGGGAGCGUAGACGGCGAAGCAAGUCUGAAGUGAAAACCCAGGGCUCAACCCUGGGACUGCUUUGGAAACUGUUUUGCUAGAGUGUCGGAGAGGUAAGUGGAAUUCCUAGUGUAGCGGUGAAAUGCGUAGAUAUUAGGAGGAACACCAGUGGCGAAGGCGGCUUACUGGACGAUAACUGACGUUGAGGCUCGAAAGCGUGGGGAGCAAACAGGAUUAGAUACCCUGGUAGUCCACGCC
rnacentral:rRNA from 1 species